AUACUUACUUAGCGUAGGGGAUACCGUGAUCAUGCAGGCGGUUGCCCUAGGGCGAGGCUGCUCCAUUGCACUGCGGAGUGGUUGACCCAUGUGUUUUUUUUUUAUCAUUAAAAAAAUCAUAAUAAAAAUGAUGUAUACCCGAAUAAUUAUUUUCUUUAUACCUCGAA